AUUGCAUAUAAAUCAGUCCUCGGAUGAAGAGAGAAGGCAUGAGACAGUGGAAGAAAGCAACUCCAUUUGUUAAAUAAACAUUUUCAACAAUAGAAAUGCUCUAAAACACUAUUUUGAAUACACUUUUUAAUAUUGAUUAAAAUUCAUUCAAAAUCACACAACUUUGUUAGUUUCAGUCCCACUUAAUUUAGCCAGUCUUACUUAUGAAUUUGUAGUUUUUUUAAUAAAUUUUAAAGAGUAUGUCAAAACAAAUGUGUUACUGGCAUUGUUAUUGGUUUAGUACAUUUAACCGGGGCAUACAGUUUUUAACUGAGUGUGUUACAAGAUUGUUGCAUUUUUAACAUUUUUCAUUUUGAUAUAACCCGAAGGGCAAUAUGCACAAAUUAUUUUGAUUUGUAGAUGAAGGAAUUAUGUUUGCUACUAUUUUAUAUUUUUUGCUCAGCAAUUAUGUUUCACUGCAGCCAUUGAAGGAUGCAUUGGACUUUUCCAUGUAGCUACCCAGUUGACUUUCAAGUAAAGGAACCUGAGGAACUAGUGACCAAAAGAUGCAUUGACGGUGCACUAAGCAUUUUGAAGACAUGGCUCAAUUCCAAGACUGUGAAGCGAGUUGUUUACACUACUAGCGUUGGUGCUGUGAUUUGCAACGGCAAAGAAGACCAAGUGAUGGAUGAAAGCUUUUGGAGUGAUGUAGUUUAUCUUAGAUCUUCAGAGAUAUUGAAAUGAUCUUAUGCAGUCUCUAAGGCAUUGACAGAAAGGAUGCAAUCAUGCACUGAAUCUUGCAUUUGGUGACAAAGAUCCAUUAGCUUUUAAUGCUCGGAUACCUAUGGUGCAUGUGGAAGAUGUGGUUAGAGCGCAUAUAUUUCUGCUUGAACAUCCUGACCCAAAAGGGAGGUAUAUAUGUUCUUCAUAUAAUGUACCUGUUGAAAGGGUAUAUGAAUUUGUUUCUGCCUAAUACCCAGAGGUCCAACAAUGACCAGCAGAUGCUUUAAAACAAAAUAAAGGUAUCAGGGUACCAGAUUUAUCGGCAAAGAAGCUGAUAGACGAUGGAUUCAUGUUCAAGUAUGGACUUGAGGAAAUGCUAGAUGAUGCAGUUCAAUGCUGCAAAGAAAAAGGUUACCUGUGAGGUAGCAGUGUGCCAUUUCUAUGUCAGAAUGGUUAUCCAUAUUCCAUAUGAUAAGGCAAUGUUUGUUAGAGCUACCAAUUGGGACUUAAUUUCUUCUGGGAUUGGACUGUUAUUUACAAUAGAAACUAGUGUCUGCAGUUCUAAUCCUUUUUUCGUUUGUAUUAAAUAUUAAUAAUAUGUGCUAUGUUGGUUGUUGCAAAGUUGCUUUCUUACCUGUUACGAUAGUAAUAGAACAAUGGGAGGUUUUGGAGAUGC